GACGAACGCUGGCGGCGUGCCUAAUACAUGCAAGUAGAACGCACAGUUUAUACCGUAGCUUGCUACACCAUAGACUGUGAGUUGCGAACGGGUGAGUAACGCGUAGGUAACCUGCCUGGUAGCGGGGGAUAACUAUUGGAAACGAUAGCUAAUACCGCAUAAUAUUGAUUAUUGCAUGAUAAUUGAUUGAAAGAUGCUAUUGCAUCACUACCAGAUGGACCUGCGUUGUAUUAGCUAGUAGGUGAGGUAACGGCUCACCUAGGCGACGAUACAUAGCCGACCUGAGAGGGGGAUCGGCCACACUGGGACUGAGACACGGCCCAGACUCCUACGGGAGGCAGCAGUAGGGAAUCUUCGGCAAUGGACGAAAGUCUGACCGAGCAACGCCGCGGGAGUGAAGAAGGUUUUCGGAUCGUAAAGCUCUGUUGUAAGAGAAGAACGGGUGUGAGAGUGGAAAGUUCACACUGUGACGGUAACUAACCAGAAAGGGACGGCUAACUACGUG
rnacentral:rRNA from 1 species